rnacentral:rRNA from 1 species
GACGAACGCUGGCGGCGUGCUUAACACAUGCAAGUCGAGCGGUAAGGCCCUUUCGGGGGUACACGAGCGGCGAACGGGUGAGUAACACGUGGGUGACCUGCCCUCAGCUCUGGGAUAAGCCUGGGAAACCGGUCGUAAUACCGGAUAGUGACUCCAUGACGCAUGUUGUGGGGUGGAAAGCCUUGUGCGGCUGAGGAUGGGCCCGGCCGGCCUAUCAGCUUGUUGGU